rnacentral:rRNA from 1 species
UACAGAGGUCUCGAGCGUUAGGCGGAAUCACUGGGCUUAAAGCGUGCGCAGGCGGUUCGUUAUGUCCGUUGUGAAAGCCCCGGGCUCAACCUGGGAAUGGCAAUGGAAACUGGCGGGCUAGAGUGUGGCAGAGGGGGGUGGAAUUCCGCGUGUAGCAGUGAAAUGCGUAGAGAUGCGGAGGAACACCGAUGGCGAAGGCAGCCCCCUGGGCUAGCACUGACGCUCAGGCACGAAAGCGUGGGGAGCAAACAGG